UGUGUUUAUUUAUUGUUAUUUUCAUGAUAAUUAAGUCUCAAGAACAUGAAUCAUAAGUUUGUGUAAAAAUGUGAAACAAACGGAGCUCGUCGAUCUUUUCGUACGGUGAUCCUCAAGAAAAUGUCAGUUGGAGGAUUAUUUUCAUGUUUUGCUUUUCCUAAAGCUUCAGCUGUGUUCAACAACCCUUUUUUGCAGAGAACCGUUUCUUUACAUUUAAGCCACUGACCUCACAUCGGUUUCGCUUACACUACAAUUCUAAUGGCAAUAUUUAAGAUUCAACUGCUUUGCAUCAAGCUUCCUCCUUAAACAUGUUUUAGUCUGCAAGAUGGUUCUCCAACAAAGUGUCUUGUUGAGCGCACUCCUGCUCUAGUGAAUAAACUGGGCAUGCUUCAUUGUCUUGGAUUUCUCUGCUGGAUUUCACUGAAUGUUAUUUUAAGAUUAAAAUGUUUGAUCUAAAAAGAAAAUGAGGGUUUUCUCUGGGUUUAUAUUCCGUGUGUUGUGGUCCAACAUCUCAGCCGGAUUAAACAUUUUUUGGAGAAGAUGCACCGAUGAGAAGAGAGGCGCUAAUUGCUGUUGUCAAGUGACUUUGUGUCUGAACACGAUGGCGGGGGCUGNNNNNNNNNNUGACAGAGAGGAGGUGCACUGUGACAGGAGGUGCACUGUGACUGACAGAGAGGAGGUGCACUGUGACAGAGAGGAGGUGCACUGUGACAGAGAGGAGAUGCACUGUGACAGGAGGUGCACUGUGACAGAGGAGGUGCACUGUGACCGAGAGGAGGUGCACUGUGACCGACAGAGAGGAGGUGCACUGUGACUGAGAGGAGGUGCAUUGUGACAGAGAGGAGGUGCACUGUGACAGAGGAGGUGCACUGUGACUGUGGUAGAGAGGGGGUGCACUGUGGCAGAGAGGAGGUGCAUUGUGACGGGAGGUGCANNNNNNNNNNCUGUGGCAGAGAGGAGGUGCACUGUG
ensembl:lncRNA